AACACUUGGAUUAGCUUACUAGCAGCAUGAAUCGGUGGUCGGCUGCAAACAUGUCUUCAUGUGACUCCAGCUUCAGAAGACACAAGAUUGAGAUGGAUUCAGUUCAUAUAUGAUGGCAACGUUCCUGCCACCACUUUGAAUCGGACUGUUUUAUCAACCUGGGCCAAUAUAACGCUGGAUUCUCUAAAAGGUUGUUAUUGAAAGAGGGGUCGGUGCCAUCUUUCCAUGGCAAUACUGAAGACGGGGGAAAUGCAAGCACAUCUGUUCACGGUGCUAGGCUACAUCACGUAGCAUGCCAGAGGGACCCACCGAAGAUGCGCACACAUGGAACGCAGCUUUCUAUGAAAACACUGCGACCUCACUACAAAAGUACAGGCACACAGAAAACUGUGCUGCACUGAUGUCGGUGUUGGGACCUCAGCUGUCAGAGACCUCGCUUGGAGGAGGGAGAGGACAAGAUGUGACAUUACAUGGAUAACCUGUGGGACCUCAUCUUUCACGUGGUUUUUCAGGACCUGGCCCCAUAUGUGAAUGAGGUGCUGAAGAUCUCAAAACCUGAGGAUCUCUCUGCCUAGUAUGAGAAACCUGACAAGCAGGAAGUUAUAGCCAGCUAUGUGUCGAGUUUCAAUCAAGGGCAGGUCUGAACCCUGUAUAACUUCCCUGAGCAUCAGGGAAGACUCUGCGUAUCUGGAGCACCGAGCAGGAGGGCAGGACCACCCUGAUUCUCCGGCCCAGAGGGCCCCAACACCAGCUCACAAAGCUUCUGUACGCCAAAUAACUGUAACGGCUGAGCAAAGUUCACAUUGUAUUUAGAGAAUAAAAGGUGACACACAAAUAUAAAGUGUUCCUUUGUUUACAGUAUAGCUACUGAUGGCACAAAUUGUAUUUUUGUAAUGAAUGUAUUUAUUAUACUUGGUAUUUUUUGUAUUUAUUACCUCUGUCCCAGCCAGUACAUUUAAUAACUAUGAUUAAAAAGCUCUGUGGCAAUCUUUCUAGCAAUCUUUCUGACAAUAAAAGUUUAUAGAAACA